UACGAAGGGGGCUAGCGUUAAUCGGAAUUACUGGGCGUAAAGCGUGCGCAGGCGGUUUGCUAAGACAGGUGUGAAAUCCCCGGGCUUAACCUGGGAACUGCGCUUGUAACUGGCAAGCUAGAGUGUGGCAGAGGGGGGUGGAAUUCCACGUGUAGCAGUGAAAUGCGUAGAGAUGUGGAGGAACACCGAUGGCGAAGGCAGCCCCCUGGGCUAACACUGACGCUCAUGCACGAAAGCGUGGGGAGCAAACAGG
rnacentral:rRNA from 1 species